rnacentral:ncRNA from 1 species
ACAGUACAAACUGAGCAGGCGAUGCCCGUGAGGGCGUGGGGCCGGGCCACUGUAUAGGUGGCAGCAGAUAACGAGUAUGCACAUCUGUGGGACAGU